CAGAGUUUCCCGGGGUGCCGAUUCCGCCGCAGGCAGAUGAAGCUGAGAUAAUACCCGCGACCUGAUCAGGGUAAUGCCUGCGCAGGGAAGGAAUUUUCAACUAUU
rnacentral:ncRNA from 2 species